GACGAACGCUGGCGGCGUGCCUAAUACAUGCAAGUUGAGCGAUGAAGCUUGGUGCUUGCACCAAUUUGAAGAGCAGCGAACGGGUGAGUAACGCGUGGGGAAUCUGCCUUUGAGCGGGGGACAACAUUUGGAAACGAAUGCUAAUACCGCAUAACAACUUUAAACAUAAGUUUUAAGUUUGAAAGAUGCAAUUGCAUCACUCAAAGAUGAUCCCGCGUUGUAUUAGCUAGUUGGUGAGGUAAAGGCUCACCAAGGCGAUGAUACAUAGCCGACCUGAGAGGGUGAGCGGCCACAUUGGGACUGAGACACGGCCCAAACGCCUACGGGAGGCAGCAGUAGGGAAUCUUCGGCAAUGGACGAAAGUCUGACCGAGAAACGCCGAGGGAGUGAAGAAGGUUUUCGGAUCGUAAAACUCUGUUGGUAGAGAAGAACGUUGGUGAGAGUGGAAAGCUCAUCAAGUGACGGUAACUACUCAGAAAGGGACGGCUAACUACGUG
rnacentral:rRNA from 1 species